rnacentral:rRNA from 1 species
AUGGCAAAAGCACCCAAGGACACGCUUCAACUAGCCUGCAUCCAGAUAGCCGUAGCCUUGCUCUUGCUUACUCAAGCCAAGAGCACCACAGAGGACACAUCUGCCCUGCGUCCAAAUGAUACGGUCACCAGCUGUAUUGCCGGUGCGAGGUCUGCCCUUCUUGCCUUCAGGGCAGGUCUAUCAGACCCUGCCAACCUCCUUCCAUCAUGGAAGGGUGGUGAUUGCUGCCGAUGGAAGGGUGUCUACUGCAGCAACAGAACCGGCCAUGUUGUCAGGCUCGAUCUCCGAGGCCCAGGUUACAGAAGCGGCAAUGAGAGCAGGCAGGUGCUAGCAGGCAACAUAAGCUCCUCGUUGCUUGGUUUACAGCAUUUACAGUAUCUUGACCUCAGCUACAACGGGUUUGACAAGAUACAAAUACCGGAGUUUAUCGGUUCUCUCCAUCAGCUGAGAUAUCUUGACCUAUCAUGGUCACCGUUCAUUGGAAGGAUACCACCGCAGCUGGGUAAUCUCUCCAACUUACAGUACUUAAAUCUUGGGUACAACUUAUAUGGCACAUAUUCCAUGGAUAUCACCUGGUUAUCACAGUUAACUUCCGUUGAGCACCUGGAUAUGACUGGGGUGAACCUCAGUACAAUUGUUCAUUGGCUUCCGGUGAUGAACAUGCUUCCAACUCUGAAAUUUCUUUGUCUUAGAGCUUGCCAGCUCAGUGAUAGCCCUGAUUCUCUUCAGCUCUCAAACCUAACAUCUCUUGAAACACUCGACAUCUCGGGCAACGACUUCCAUAAGCGUUGCACGCCCAACUGGUUUUGGGAUUUAACUAGCCUCAAGCAUCUACAUAUCGCUGAAAAUGGUUUCUAUGGCCCUUUUCCGGACGACAUCGGAAAUAUGACCUCGAUUGUGGAGCUUGAUUUAUCAGACAAUAACCUUGUGGGCAUGAUACCAUCCAACAUGAAGAACCUAUGUAAUUUGGAGAGAUUAGAUUUUUCUAUGAACAACAUCAACGGGAGUAUAGCAGAGUUAUUGCAUCGAUUACCAAACUGUUCACAGAAUAAACUACAGGACUUGUCUCUAUCGGACAACAAUCUGACUGGAAGCCUACCAACUACACUAGUAGAGCCCUUGAGAAACCUGAGCUGGCUGAAUCUUGAUGGGAACAAACUCACUGGUCAUGUCCCGGUGUGGAUAGGAGAGCUCACACAGCUAACAAAUCUGGAGCUUAGUUCUAACAACCUGGACGGGGUCAUACAUGAAGGUCAUUUAUCAGGUCUAGGUAUGUUGGAGGAAUUGACAUUAUCAGACAACUCCAUAGCCAUCACUGUGAGCCCAACUUGGGUUCCUCCUUUCAGUCUAGGAACAAUUGAACUUCGGUCCUGUCAGCUAGGGCCUAAAUUCCCCAUGUGGCUUAGAAGGCAAACACACUUAUGGAAUCUUGAUAUAUCAAACACAAGCAUAAAUGACAUGGUACCAGGUUGGUUUUGGAUAGCAGCUUCCUCAGUAGAGUAUCUAAAUAUUCGAAAUAAUCAGAUUACAGGAUUCCUACCAUCAUCAAUGGAAUUUAUGAGAGCAGAAGUCAUGGAUUUCAGUUCUAACCAGCUUGGUGGUCCAAUACCUAAGCUUCCCAUCACUCUAAUCGACCUGGAUCUCAGUCGGAACAAUCUAGUUGGGCCACUACCAUUAGACUUUGGAGCACCAGGGCUUGAAAAACUAUUUCUAUAUAACAACAUGAUCUCUGGGGCCAUUCCAUCUUCUUUGUGCAAGUUGCGAUCAUUGCGGUCAUUAGAUCUAUCAAGAAAUAACCUCAAUGGAUCAAUUGCUGAUUGCCCAGUCAAUGAGUCCAGCUCAAACAUGACAGAUCUGAGCAUUGUUAAUCUAAGCUUCAGAAACAACAACCUCUCUGGUGAAUUUCCUUCACUUCUGCAGAAAUGCCCACAACUCAUCUUUCUUGAUCUCGGACUUAAUCAAUUCUCCGGGGCUUUACCAACAUGGAUUGGAGAGAAGCUACUGUCUUUGUCAUUCUUGCGACUGAGAUCCAAUAUGUUUUAUGGGAACAUUCCAGUCCAGCUUACGAAGCUUGUUAAUCUACAAUAUUUGGACCUUGCGUACAAUAAUAUAUCAGGGAGCAUACCGAGAUCUAUUAUUAAUUGGACAGGCAUGACACAAACAAGAGACAACACUGAUGAUCUUCAGAAUGCAUUCACUUCUGGAGUAAGUUUUGAUGACAAUGAACUGGUUGACUACAGUGCGAAUUUGACUGUACUCACGAAAGGCCAAGAGAGAUUAUAUACAGGAGAAAUCAUAUAUAUGGUGAAUCUUGAUUUAUCUUGUAAUAGUCUUACCGGAGUGAUACCCGCAGAAAUCAGCAGUCUCGUUGCGUUGAAGAGCCUGAACUUAUCAUGGAACAAUUUCAAUGGAAAAAUCCCUGAGAAUAUUGGUGCCUUGAUGCAAGUGGAGUCACUUGACCUGUCACACAAUGAGUUGUCUGGUGAAAUCCCUUCAAGCUUAUCGGUUCUCACAUCAUUGAGUCGCCUGAACCUGUCCUACAACAAUCUGGGAGGGAAGAUACCAACUGGAAAUCAGCUGCAAACACUUGAAGACCAGGCAUCUAUUUAUAUUGGCAACCCGGGUCUCUGCGGCCCUCCUCUCUUGCGGAAUUGCCCGCAGCCUGAGCCAAUUCCAGGAGAAAACCAUGGAGAUGCAAGCGAUGACUUGGUUUCCUUUCUCCUCGCCAUGAGCUCUGGAUUUGUAAUGGGUCUCUGGGUGGUCUUCUGUACCUUCUUGUUCAAGAGGAGAUGGAGAGCUGUUUGGUACUCGCUCUGUGACAGCCUGUAUGAUUGGGUUUAUGUGCAUGUGGCUAUUACCUGGACUUCCUUGAGAGGUAAAAUCAAUGGGUAG